rnacentral:rRNA from 1 species
UGGUACCUACGGGAGGCAGCAGUGAGGAGUAUUGGUCAAUGGGCUUACGCCUGAACCAGCCACGUCGCGUGAGGGGAGACUGCCCUAUGGGUCGUAAACCUCUUUUGUCAGGGAGCAACGCCGGCUACGUGUAGCCGGACUGAGAGUACCUGAAGAAAAAGCAUCGGCUAACUCCGUGCCAGCAGCCGCGGUAAUACGGAGGAUGCGAGCGUUAUCCGGAUUUAUUGGGUUUAAAGGGUGCGUAGGCGGAAUGCCAAGUCAGCGGUAAAAUCGCGGGGCUCAACCUCGCUCCGCCGUUGACACUG